CUCCGCCCCUCUUCCUUCUUCAGCUUGUAACUCCGACCACCGACCACGACUGUGGGCGAGGCCGGUACCAAAACGACCGGAAAGACGUCCUCUUCCUUCCCCGACCCUUCCCGGCCGGCGACGUGACCUGCGCUGGCCGGAAAUCGCGCCGGAACCGACAAUGCUCACCAGAUCUUCAAGUCGCUCGUUCUCCCUCAAUUCUUCUCCAAAUUUGUCGAGUAAGGCACCCGGGACCAGGCAGGCCCGCAAGAGAGACCUUCAGGAGGUCUAGCUAGCUCGGACCAGGAGCUCUAGCGUGCACAGGAAAUCAACCACCGGGCCAUCUCGCCUUCCUCGCUUCAUUGUUACAAAAGUGUUGGUUGGUAAAAAGGUUCAUUCCUCUGUAAACUAUUAGAAUUGCUAUGAUAUAUUGCCCUAGAGUGAGAUUGGAACUUUUGGCAUGUAUAUUGAAGUGCUGGUAGUUGGUUGUGUGAAUAUUUUGCUCGUUCUGACAGGUGGAAAUUUUGGGAUUGAGCAAAUUACAGGGGAGACUGCCAAAUUUUCGGCAGGAGUCAAGGUUGAAAUUUCAAUUAGAAGGGCAAUUAGGUCAAUUGUGCCCGACAUUCGCCAAGUGUCGGACACGCACAGGGUUCGACUCGAAUUCCAAAGCGAAAUUUGGUUCGGGUCCUGUCAUUUUUGCUGUUAUUUAGAGCAAAAAUUAUUUAAGGGCUUGACAUUUCUGUUAAAAAACGGGCAGAACCUACCCUGAAAAAUGGACAUUUUCCCAAAAAAUUUACCUGUAAAUAUGACAAUUUAAUAGUA